UACAGAGGUCCCAAGCGUUGUUCGGAUUCAUUGGGCGUAAAGGGUGCGUAGGCGGCGCGGUAAGUCGGGUGUGAAAUCUCGGAGCUUAACUCCGAAACUGCAUUCGAUACUGCCGUGCUUGAGGACUGGAGAGGAGACUGGAAUUUACGGUGUAGCGGUGAAAUGCGUAGAUAUCGUAAGGAAGACCAGUGGCGAAGGCGGGUCUCUGGACAGUUGCUGACACUGAGGCGCGACAGCGUGGGGAGCAAACAGGG
rnacentral:rRNA from 1 species